rnacentral:rRNA from 1 species
GACGAACGCUGGCGGCGUGCUUAACACAUGCAAGUCGAACGGAAAGGCCCUGCUUUUGUGGGGUGCUCGAGUGGCGAACGGGUGAGUAACACGUGAGUAACCUGCCCUUGACUUUGGGAUAACUUCAGGAAACUGUGGCUAAUACCGGAUAGGAGCUCCUGCUGCAUGGUGGGGGUUGGAAAGUUUCGGCGGUUGGGGAUGGACUCGCGGCUUAUCAGCUUGUUGGUGGGGUAGUGGCUUACCAAGGCUUUGACGGGUAGCCGGCCUGAGAUGGUGACCGGGCACAUUAGGACUGAGAUACGGCCAAGAAUCCUACGGGAGGCAGCAGUGGGGAAUAUUACACAAUGGGCGGAAGCAUGAUGAAGCAACGCGGCGUGAGGGAUGACGGCCUUAGGGUUGUAAACCGCUUUCGCCUGUGACGAAGCGUGAGUGACGGUAAUGGGUAAGGAAGCACCGGCUAACUACGUG